AGAUGGCUGGAUGACCGCCGCUUAGCAAUAAGGGGAGGAAAGUCCGGGCUUCAUGGAAACACGGUGCCGGAUAACGUCCGGCGGGCGCAAGCCCCGAGAUAGUGCCACAGAAAGCAAACCGCCUGACUUGUCAGGUAAGGGUGAAAGGGUGCGGUAAGAGCGCACCGCGGCGUUGGUAACAACGCUGGCAGGGUAAACCUCACCGGAAGCAAAACCAAAUAGGAAUGCAUUAUGGCGGGUUUCCACGCCGCGUUCGGGUUGGUUGCUUGAGCGUUAUAGCAAUAUACCGCCUAGAUGAAUGGUCAUACAGCUGUGCAAACAGUGGACAGAACCCGGCUUAUAGGCCAUCUGA
rnacentral:RNase_P_RNA from 1 species